AAAUCUGGCCUUGAACUCCGAGCACAAGUGAUCUUCCUGCUUCUGCCCCACAAAGUGCUGGGAUUACAGGUGUGAGUGAUAGUGUCCAGCCCAGAGUCCAGGGACUUAACUGCAGUGUUCUACUUUGCCCCAAACCAGCUCAGUUGCCUCUGGGUCUCAGUAAUUCAAGUUUUACAAUUAUUAUUUAUAUACUCACAGUCUGUGAAAUUUAUACAACACAAAAUUAUGUGAACACACUGCCAGUUCCCCUCGCCAGGCCAGCGAGGGACCCGGCCAGCGAGGGCCCAGCUGCCGAGACUGCACAGCUCCACAGCAAACCCUCCCCUGCCUCGGGGAGGCCAUCAAACCUUACAAGGAAUUGAAGAGUAGAUUUAUUAAAUAAUAGGAUACAUGAUGGAUUAGAAAAUUAUUGACUAGAUAAUGCAAAUUUAGAGCCAUAUAUAAAAAUUGUGGCCCCGUAGGGAUAAGUAGGCCUUAUCUUGACUGGACUUUCCCUGUGUUACUCAUGCUUAUUCUUUUUAUUAUUUUAUUCUACUUUUCCCACAGUGCUCUGUGCUUUGGGGUCAUUCUGAUUCCCUCUGACCGGUCCCCAAAAGGAAGCCUCCUUCACGGCACCUUUUGUUGUCCUUGAAGAAAGUUUUUGGUACAGGCACUUCAAAAGACUAUGGAGGCAAAGCACCUGACCCAUCCUUUCCAAAAUAUUUUUUAAUCAUCAGAAUUACACUAAAGAGUAGGAAAAUUCCAGAGAAUCAGCAAAGUUGAAUACAAGAGACUAAUGUACACAGAGGGCAUAGAGUGACCCACUUUUUAUUGCUGGGUGUCUUUUUUUUUUAAUCAAAGAGCAAAGUAAUCACACAGACACCAUUGCAUGGCACAUCCAUAGUUUUCUGCUUAAGGGAGAAUGUACUCAUUCAGCAGUAGGUUUCAGUGAGAUUUCUUUAGGCUUCCACCUUACACAUUGCAACAAGAUUCACAAUCACUACUUCUCCUUAGUGUAUUUCUUUAUAACUCCAACAUAUGUCAUUUCUCAAAGUAUUCAUUUCUUGCUGUCUAACAUACAUUCUUAUUUGGAAGCAUAAAGUUAUAUUACACGAAUAUUUUGCAUUUUUAAAAAUAAGCACUUUUGCCACUUCUGCAACACAGUGCUUCACAUAGUGGUGCAAUAAAAGCAGAGCACAUAUUUACCACACUACUUAAGAUUCAUUUUACCACUACCAUCUGCCAAACCCAUAUUGCUUUUUCCUCCAUACCUCUGGGCAGUGACUGUACCAUGAUUUCACAGAGAGAAUGUUAGUAUGACUUACGAAUAACAGUACCAUCAGUAAUACUGAAAUCAAUGAAGAUGACCCAAAAUAUGAACUUCUCAAGGAGUAACUUCUUUUAAAUAUUUGGGCAACUCUGUUUUCUCUGUUGUAUUGUCCACUGAGAAAAAAAAAUCCUGUUCGAUUAUGCUCUUACAGAAGUUAUAAAAAACCAGAUUAGGUAUAUAACUGGUUGACACUUAAGAUACUGUACUGCUUUCUACAACAGAAGAACUUCCGAAAAAUGUUCUAUAGAACUAUAUUCAUCAAUACCACCUCGUUGGUCCAUUCCAUUCAUUGAUGGGCAAAGCACUCAUGUUUUGACAAAACUUUAAAGCUUCCAUAAAAGUUAAAUUAGAAAAAAAAAAUGAAAAUGA